GUUAAUGAAGCAAAACGGACAUGCAAGAGAUCUAAGUCCUCUUAUAGGGGGUUCAAGUCCCCCCACUAACU
rnacentral:tRNA from 1 species